GAUGAAUGCUGGCGGCGUGCCUAAUACAUGCAAGUCGAGCGGUAGCAGGGCUUCACCGUGUUUUCGAGGCUUCGGGCUGUUGAGCGGAAGUUUCAAUCGAAGACACAGUGAAGCUGCUGACGAGCGGCGGACGGCUGAGUAACGCGUGGGAACAUACCCCAAACUGAGGGAUAACUAGUCGAAAGAUUAGCUAAUACCGCAUGUGAUCUUCGGAUUAAAGCUUUCGGGCGGUUUGGGAAUGGCCUGCGUACGAUUAGAUAGUUGGUGAGGUAAAGGCUCACCAAGUCGACGAUCGUUAGAUGGUUUGAGAGGAUGAUCAUCCAGACUGGGACUGAGACACGGCCCAG
rnacentral:rRNA from 1 species